rnacentral:rRNA from 1 species
GAUGAACGCUGGCGGCGUGCCUAAUACAUGCGAGUCGAGCGAACGGACGAGAAGCUUGCUUCUCUGAUGUUAGCGGCGGACGGGUGAGUAACACGUGGAUAACCUACCUAUAAGACUGGGAUAACUUCGGGAAACCGGAGCUAAUACCGGAUAAUAUUUUGAACCGCAUGGUUCAAAAGUGAAAGACGGUCUUGCUGUCACUUAUAGAUGGAUCCGCGCUGCAUUAGCUAGUUGGUAAGGUAACGGCUUACCAAGGCAACGAUGCAUAGCCGACCUGAGAGGGUGAUCGGCCACACUGGAACUGAGACACGGUCCAGACUCCUACGGGAGGCAGCAGUAGGGAAUCUUCCGCAAUGGGCGAAAGCCUGGCGGAGCAACGCCGCGUGAGUGAUGAAGGUCUUCGGAUCGUAAAACUCUGUUAUUAGGGAAGAACAUAUGUGUAAGUAACUGUGCACAUCUUGACGGUACCUAAUCAGAAAGCCACGGCUAACUACGUG